GAUGAACGCUAGCUACAGGCUUAACACAUGCAAGUCGAGGGGAAACGGCAUCGAAAGCUUGCUUUUGAUGGGCGUCGACCGGCGCACGGGUGAGUAACGCGUAUCCACCCUGCCCAUCACUUGGGAAUAACCUUGCGAAAGUAAGACUAAUGCCCAAUGACAUCCCACGAAGGCAUCCGAAUGGGAUUAAAGAUUUAUCGGUGAUGGAUGGGGAUGCGUCUGAUUAGCUUGUUGGCGGGGUGACGGCCCACCAAGGCAACGAUCAGUAGGGGUUCUGAGAGGAAGGUCCCCCACAUUGGAACUGAGACACGGUCCAAACUCCUACGGGAGGCAGCAGUGAGGAAUAUUGGUCAAUGAGCGAGAGCCUGAACCAGCCAAGUAGCGUGCAGGAUGACGGCCCUAUGGGUUGUAAACUGCUUUUAUAAGGGAAUAAAGUGGGUCACGUGUGACUUUUUGCAUGUACCUUAUGAAUAAGGACCGGCUAAUUCCGUG
rnacentral:rRNA from 1 species